UGAGUUGAGUUGAGUUGAGUUGACACUAAAAGUUUUCUGCAAUAUGUGGAAAAUUCCAGAGAUUUCUUGUGGAAAAUACUGGAGAGUAUGUCUUUGGCUGGCACUGUGGUUUAUUGUUAUUGUUGUCUCUCGCUUGCUAAAAAAUUGAACAUGGGAUUGGGGUGAUACAGUGAUGUUUCUUUAUUUUUUUAUGAAUUUAUCUCGCCUGCU
rnacentral:misc_RNA from 1 species